rnacentral:tRNA from 1 species
GAGACACUAGUAAAACUGUUAUUACAUUGCCUUGUCAAGGCAAAAUUGCAGGUUGAAACCCUGCGUGCCUUA